AGUAAAUUCUCUGGGAUACAUCUUAUUACUGUUUUGUUAUUUUAUUAUUGAAAGUAAUAUUGAUCAUGUGGCAAUGAAGUAAGGUCUCCGUUUUAGCGUCAAGAUACUGGCCUUGACGGUGAACUUUGGUUCGUUGGAGGAGAUCAUUAAUAUGGGAUCAUUUGAUCUGUUUUUAGUUAGCUGGUAUAUAUUCUUUGAGAAAGUGCAUUCUUGAACAACUUAUUAAUAUAGGACUCAUUUUUUUUUACAAAUGUGUUGUCUAUUGUUAAUUUAAUAUCACAACAAGUUUAUCUAAAGUAGCCAAGUGUUUGCAGAAAGACUAUUAAUUAGCUGAAGUAUAUGCUUUAGAACUGAAGAUAAAUGCAUGGAUUAAUUCAUAUGAAACCUGUAUCUCAAGCAUGUACACUGUGUGGCGUCAUCUUGGUGAAUUUAUGAAUAGGGCAGUGUAACACUUGCAGAGAUGCACAACACUCUUCGUCCUCUUUGUACAGUCUCAGGGUCAUCUCCCGUGUCGUGUAUUUUCAGGGGCAAUUUCUGCCUGAGGACGUUGAUGUCUUCUUCUAUUCGUCAGAGUGUCCCUCCAUAGUAUUCAUGUGACCUGGUAGUUGUCAUCCGUCAUUUUGUACAACGUCAUGGAAGAUGUUAAGAGUUUAUCCGUUCAAAGGGCUUUGUUACAAGAUUCGCUUCCUC